rnacentral:rRNA from 1 species
CCUACGGGGGGCUGCAGUGGGGAAUAUUGGACAAUGGGGGCAACCCUGAUCCAGCCAUGCCGCGUGUGUGAAGAAGGCCCUCGGGUUGUAAAGCACUUUCAGUGAGGAAGAACGCCUGGUGGUUAAUACCCAUCAGGAAAGACAUCACUCACAGAAGAAGCACCGGCUAACUCCGUGCCAGCAGCCGCGGUAAUACGGAGGGUGCGAGCGUUAAUCGGAAUUACUGGGCGUAAAGCGCGCGUAGGUGGCUUGAUAAGCCGGUUGUGAAAGCCCCGGGCUCAACCUGGGAACGGCAUCCGGAACUGUCAAGCUAGAGUGCAGGAGAGGAAGGUAGAAUUCCCGGUGUAGCGGUGAAAUGAGUAGAGAUCGGGAGGAAUACCAGUGGCGAAGGCGGCCUUCUGGACUGACACUGACACUGAGGUGCGAAAGCGUGGGUAGCAAACAGGAUUAGAUACCCUAGUAGUC